UUUUCUCAUGAACUGCGUCGAAUAGAGAAUAUUCUAAAGCGGCUGUAUGUACAUUUCGGCGUCAUUGUAAAUUUAGUCAGUGACUUGAGCUUUGUGCCGAACGACUCAUCCAGGUCGAACGGGUUCAUAAUUUCGAAUUCAUUUUGAAAUCUGUCUACGCGUUGUUUUCGUUGCGAGUGUACCACGCGAGCGUGGACUUCUAGUUUGGCAAACACCGACGCCAGUCAGCGUCGUCGCGGCCUGACACUAUGGGCAGACGGGAACGGCCUAGUCAGGUACUCGUACAGAAUCGAGUUACAAAACCGAGUUGAAAAAAAGAGGUCUACAUUGAUGUUGUCUUAUAUCUCACGUAGCCCCGACGCAAAGCGCAGUACACCAGCACCCAUCAGCAACCACAGUGCUGCUGCUACCCGGUGCUGAGUCACUGCUGCGUUGCCGAUACAGAUCCACGCUAUUGCUGGUGUAGCGUUGCCACGUUUCCUGUUUCCCUCCCUUCACACCACGCCCCUGCGCCGACACGCUGUGCGUCCAUCCCCGCUUCUUGCCCCAAAACGAGGAGCAAACACGAACGUAACAAAGAUGGAGCUAGAAUAUAACGGUGGAACUGGUGCAAGAGACAGAGAAAGGGUAGUAAGCUCGAGAGCGAACGGGACGAAGAAAGAAGAGAAAAUGGCGGCUAGAGAAAGACAGAGGAGACGUCGCACAGCGCGUUCAAAUUUCAUUGCGUCAAGCUCACGGUGCUCUCGGGCGUCUGCUUAGCACGGAAUUCAGAGAAAACGUCGGUAAUGGAGUUUCGUGAGAUAAACGGCAGCAGCGACGCCACUAUGGCAGUAGUAUUGGUCCUGCAUGCCAGACAAGGUUACCAACAGGGCAACCAAAAAGAUGCUUCAGUCAAGUGAUUGGAGGGAGGAACAUUCGAUUUGUCCGUUCUUCUUCCAACUGGGUUUGAAUCGAGGUGGCGAGUCAACAAUUCUCGACUCUGAAAAGGCGCGAAAACAAUCCAUCCAUCAGGGGUGUUUACAACAGAGCGUUGGCCAUCCUUCGGUGGAGGCUGGCUGGCUGGCUGGCUAGACUCUUUUCCACCAAGUGUUCGCUUUUGCGCUCUGAUUGGUAAACCCGCGGUUCUUAAAUCACCACUGAUCCCGAUAUAAGCUCCGACCGUUCAAUUAUUUUUCGCGUUCAAGGGAGAAACCUGUUUGCUGUGUACUACACGUUCCGGCCACGAGGCUCGGUUACGUGCUUUGUUUCUUCCGUUGAUGUUUCAAUAUUUCUGCGACAGGUAAAUUUAAUGAACUUCUUUGGAUACUUACGCGGGACAAUCGAGACGAAUCGAGAGCUUCGAUAUAUGUAGAAAUCGCGUUUAUCUGAUAAUACGAUAGAUAAUACAGUAGUAACAGAUAACGUUCUGUAAGUAUCAAGAAAAUUGGCAUCAGACUAAAAUAUUCUUGGAGAUUGUAAUUAACCUUAAGCAUCUCAAGGUGUUGGGAAGUUUAAGGUCAGCCUAAGAGAGAGUGAUUUUGGGUUCACUUAAAUGAAAGUGAUUAAAAUGGGGAGGAAAGUGAGCAGCCAUUUUAUUCCUUUCUAUAUUUGUACAGCCUGGCUCUACAUAGUCCCAUCAAUAACGUCGAAUUCUCAACGUGCAGGUCUAAAGGGCACGUGUUGACCAGUUCUCCUCUAACCAAACGUUACGCCAGGAGUGUGAGUGGAAAAGAGAAAAGUGACAUGGAAAUGGAAAAAAAGACAAACGAAAAUGGGAGAAACGAGUGGAAAGCAAGGAUGCCGGGAUAGAGGAGAGAGAAGGAGAGAAAAUACGUGAGGGAAUCGUGAAACGGGAACGCCGUGCGCAUCGCAAUGCAAAUGCAACUGACCCGAUAAAGCUGCAUUGGGUCAUAGAAAGGGAAAAUACAACCUACAAACGUGGGGCUCCCGCCAAAAUACGAUUUUUAUAGCCUCUCAUAGUGGCAUUCACAACCGACCAAUGUUCCCCUUCGACUUCUAUCAAACACCCCCGCGUUUAUAGUCUGUCUAACAAGAGUCUGUAUACCCAGGAUGAUAUCUUUGUGACAAAUGUUAUAAUAUAUGAAAAAGAGUACUCUGUCGUAUAUUUUGUUUUAGGAACUGAUCGUUGAAUUCUUUAUUUGCUUUAUGCAAAAUUCUGUUCAACUGUAGUAAACGCUGUCUGAUACUUAAACCUUAUCUACUGCGAGCAGCAUGCCAUUCUUCUUCCACUUGGAAGAAUAAAAGAUGAUGGCAGAAAAUAAUGAAUUUUGAAAAUGAAUUAAAUUUUGUGAUUCGUGUAGAUUUUAUAUUAAAAUAAAAAAA